UACGGGAGGCAGCAGUGGGGAAUAUUGCACAAUGGGCGCAAGCCUGAUGCAGCCAUGCUGCGUGUAUGAAGAAGGCCUUCGGGUUGUAAAGUACUUUCAGUCGUGAGGAAGGUGUUAAGGUUAAUAACCUUAGCAAUUGACGUUAGCGACAGAAGAAGCACCGGCUAACUCCGUGCCAGCAGCCGCGGUAAUACGGAGGGUGCGAGCGUUAAUCGGAAUUACUGGGCGUAAAGGGCACGCAGGCGGUUAAUUAAGUUGGAUGUGAAAUCCCCGGGCUUAACCUGGGAAUGGCAUUCAAGACUGGUUAGCUAGAGUCUUGUAGAGGGGGUAGAAUUCCAUGUGUAGCGGUGAAAUGCGUAGAGAUGUGGAGGAAUACCGGUGGCGAAGGCGGCCCCUGGACAAAGACUGACGCUCAUGUGCGAAAGCGUGGGGAGCAAACAGGAUUAGAUACC
rnacentral:rRNA from 1 species